rnacentral:rRNA from 1 species
ACAGCAGCAGCCGCGGUAAAACGGAGGGUGCAAGCGUUAAUCGGAAUUACUGGGCGUAAAGCGCACGCAGGCGGUCUGACAAGUCAGAUGUGAAAUCCCCGGGCUUAACCUGGGAACUGCAUUUGAAACUGUCAGGCUGGAGUCUUGUAGAGGGGGGUAGAAUUCCAGGUGUAGCGGUGAAAUGCGUAGAGAUCUGGAGGAAUACCGGUGGCGAAGGCGGCCCCCUGGACAAAGACUGACGCUCAGGUGCGAAAGCGUGGGGAGCAAACAGGAUUAGAUACCCCGGUAGUCCCUGUCUCUUAUAC